UUUAUUGCCCCAAUAAUGAGGUAUAGCCUAAAUAGAACUAAUUGAUCCAUAAAAGAGGGUGGUAGUUGGGCUCACUCUGGUGGACGGGUGAAACAAAUCAUGGACGGAGGACUUCAAGCUAGAAGUUGGAGGUUAUACCACUAUAAACCUCUCCCUAUCGAUGUCAAUGCCAAUGGAUGUUCACGAAAGAAUACACCAUCUACCCACCGCACGAGGUUCUCGACACUUAUUUGGAGUAUAUAGCUUUUAUAUAUUAGAUUUUUUUUU
rnacentral:lncRNA from 1 species